AAAUAAACGUCAGUUAACUGACGUCCGAUAAAGAUAAAGAUAAGAAGAACAGUCCAGGAAUGGCUUAGAACCUGACAAAUUUGGCCCAAAAUGGAGCUGGCACUUGCCUAGGAGCCACAGCCAGUCAAAAGCAGGCAAGCCAGCAACCAACUGUAAUUUAUCACAAAUGCUCAUAGCCUUUAUGUGAGCCAUAGAUGAAAAUGACGAUGGAUGAGGAUCUAUAGCUUACACACAACAUGAUUUUGAAUAGGCUCAUCAUAUCAGCAAAAUGUAAUUCUAAGGAAACAUCUGGCCAUAGAAUAUAGCUUUAUUCGGAGUGUCAAAUACAGUAUACCCACGCAGUUAUAAUUCAAAAUAGUGGACUGUAAAACCGAUGGUAACGCAGAAAAAUGAUAACUCUGCAUGUCAGUUGCACCAAAGACAAUGCAAUGUGAUAUUCUGGGUGCUUUAUGUUGAUAGUUGGACUAGAAAUACGGCGGUGCUAUAUAACCAGUAAUCUUUGAUCGCGGCUGGUGCCGUUACUCGCUUAUGGUUCUCCACCGACACACAAAUUUAAUCUCAAUGGAAGACAUUUUUGCAACUAUUUUAUUCUUUUAUUACCAGAUCCUUAGGUUAAAUGACUGUGAGUAUCAACCGAUUAGAAUCUACCGCAAUAUAAAUUUUGCACCAUGA